rnacentral:rRNA from 1 species
UACGAAGGGUGCAAGCGUUAAUCGGAAUUACUGGGCGUAAAGGGGGCGUAGGCGGUUCGUUAAGUCUGUCGUGAAAUCCCCGGGCUCAACCUGGGAAUGGCGAUGGAUACUGGGCAGCUAGAGUGUGUCAGAGGAUGGUGGAAUUCCCGGUGUAGCGGUGAAAUGCGUAGAGAUCGGGAGGAACAUCAGUGGCGAAGGCGGCCAUCUGGGACAACACUGACGCUGAAGCACGAAAGCGUGGGGAGCAAACAGG